UGGGGAAAAAUGCAUCAGGGGCUUACCCACACUUGAAACUUGCUGGACCGGAGGUUGGUUGCGACCAUCAUUUUUCCAGCUUUGGUAAGUCCACGGUGAGUUUUUCCUCCUAGCAGCCACAAACACGUCAGCCAGCGAAGAGCCUCCUCUGCAGUCUUUGGAUCAUGUUCCUUUAUCCCCACCUGAAGUUCUGGUGACAACAUUCUCAGAAACUGUUCAAGAAUGAUUAUUUCAUUGAUUUGUUCAACUGUUUUACCUUUGGGCUGCACCCAUUUACCAUACAGUUCCUUCAGCCUUAUGUAGAGCUCUUUUGGAGUUUCUUUGGGCUCCACUUGAAGCAAACGGAAGCUUUGCCUAUAGGUUUCACUGUUAGUGUCAUACUUCUGUAAGACUGCUAGUUUCACUUGGUCAUAAUUCAU